UGGGGAAUUUUGCGCAAUGGGGAAACCCUGGAACGCAGCAACGCCGCGUGGAGGAUGAAGUCCCUUGGGACGUCAAAUCUGCCUUUACGCAUCCAAGGACCAGAUAAGACGGUACUGGUGGAAGAAGCGCCGGCUAACUCUGCGCCAGCAGCCGCGGUAAUACAGAGGGUGCGAGCGUUGUUCGGAAUUAUUGGGCGUAAAGGGCGCGUAGGCGGUCGCGUAAGUCACCUGUGAAAUCUCCCGGCUCAACUGGGAGCCUGCAGGCGAAACUGCGUGGCUGGAGUGUGGGAGAGGUGCGUGGAAUUCCCGGUGUAGCGGUGAAAUGCGUAGAUAUCGGAGGAACACCUGUGGCGAAAGCGGCGCACUUGGACCACAACUGACGCUGAGGCGCGAAAGCUAGGGGAGCAAACA
rnacentral:rRNA from 1 species